ensembl:lncRNA
CUCUGCUUCCUUCUUAGUGACGACCCUCCAUCAGAUCCACGAGGGAGCCGAGUGUAACACGCACAUGCUCCUGCGUGCCUCGGAAGGACAUACGCGUCCUGCCCACCCCAGACCUCCCCGGGAUGGCCACUGCCCACCAUUUCAGGGCCACCUGGGGGUUUUCCUGCCUGUUUCUAAACAGUCUCCUUGAGGAGCUGUUUCGCCUGCACUUACUAUGUACCAGGAGGUCUUGGAAGCGCUCUUUUCGCCGUUUAACUCCUGAUUUUCUCAGUAACCCAAGGAAGCAGUAACUUGUUUCUUUGCAUCGAUGGUCGGCCUGUAUGUGGACACUUCUAUGACGCCUUCAUCUCCCCCCACCCACUGGAUCACCCCCUGUCUGUAUUAGCUUGGCUGUCUGACUCCUCUCCCUCUGACCUCCUGGGUGAGCUGGCCCCUCGGUUUGUCCCCAGACGCGCUCGCUCGCCCAGGAGGUGUGACUCCACCCCUGCCCUACGCCAGCCAAAGCGAAAGUCUUCCUCUUGGGGACAGCUGUCCUGUGUCCUUCAGAGGAACCCUCCUUUCCUCAUCUGCAAGGUGUGGGGCUGGCCUUGACCCCAGCCCUGGGGUGUGACACUCGAGGCCCAGAGGGGGAGGUGGGUGCCCCAGGCCCCCAUUUAGGACAUCAGGGGGCAGGCCUGGCCCCAGGCACAGCCUCUUUCUGUCCUGGGAGGCAGAAACCACAUCCCAAGA